GACUUCCUCCCUCUCUCCGAUUGCACGUGGGGCGGCUGAUGUAAGACCUUUCUCGUGGGUGGGGGGGCUUCCCCGCCCCCCGGCCCCCGCCGCGCUGAGACUCCUUCUACCUCCGGCCCCACGUCGUCGCGCCCGGAGCUGGGCUUGCGGCCCGGGCUGGGAGGUUCGCGGGAAGGGUUGGUGGGAAGCUUUGCAGUCCGGCUGCGGGGGUCCCUAAAACCCAGUCCAUCCGGGGAGGCUCACGGGGGCGGCCCGACGCCCGCGGAGGCGCGAGAUGUGAAGAAGCCGGGGACAGGCUUUGACGUUCACCUUUUGCCUGCCACACAGUCUGGGGCCAACAGGCCGAACCCCGCUGCCUCCUUGGCAGACUGGCGUCCGUAGUGCCGCCGAGGAUCCCCCCCGUCGGGACGGAAUCGCGGCCGACCGGCCCUGGCAGGGCAGCUGGGGUCGCUUGCUAAGCCACAGAGCAGCCGAGCAUCCCCACCCUGUUCAGGAGAGUCUCCCUCGGUUUUCUAACAUUUUAAUAGGAGCUAGAGAAGGAAACGAUUAGCAUUUCUAAUAGGGCCUCAGGGUUUCCCCGCAGACUUUUUUUUUUAAUCUCAUUUAUUCCUUAGGGCACCCCUGUGAAGUGUGUAAAUUCUUGGUGGUCUAAGUUUCGCUGAAACCUGGCAGGCAGCCUUUGUCAUGGUCUGGCCCAAAGGGUCCCAGGGGUUAGAGCACCAGAUCGGGAUGAGUGUUGUGCUUUGCAGAACACCGGGGAAUGACGUUAUAUUCAGCGUACAAUAAGUAAAUACAUAAUGUGUCAAAUCAAAUACAAUCUAAGAAGAUCGUACUGACAAGAAGCACCAAAAACUAAGAACAAUUUGUUAAAGAAAAACUUGAAAUUCUAUGUAUUAACAUGAAGUUUUAUGGAAGUUAAGAAAGUGCCCCCUUUCCUAUUUUACCUAAGUUUUAGUGGCAAACAACCCAAAUUUAGUUGUAAACCAAUUAUAUAUCAGCUUUUAAAAUACUGAGUGAGUUAACAUUUGAAGAUGAAAGUUUUAGAAGGAAUAUGGGAAAAGAAAAACUUUCUGGUAGUAGUUCCCUGACUCCGUUUGUAGUCUCAGCAGACGUCUUUAUGACAAGGGAAAAUGGAGACAGAUGUUCUCAGGGUUACAAAAGGUCUGUAACUAAGGUUAUGAGAACCACAGGGCUAUGCAAUGAGGGCUUUUACCAAACAAAACAAAACAAAACAAAAAAUCGGUUUCAUGAGCCAACAAGCGAUUAUUGAGGAUCUGCUUUAAGGGGCUUGAUAUUAUUUCUCUAAUUCUCAGACAACUUUCUGAAGUAGGUGAUAAUUUAAUCAUUUUACAGAUGAGGAGCUCAGGAAUCUUAAGCUGCACGUCCAGCAAGAAGCAGAGCUAGGAUUUACACCCAGAUAGGUCUGACUCCACAGCCCACCAUCUUGUGCUACAUCAUCAGUCUGGCUAGAGUGGAGUCAUAGCAUGGUGGGGGGCUACUUUGGUGCUGUAGGUUGGGAACAGUUGCAGAGGGCUUUUAAUACCAAACAGCAUGCAAGUGUCCUCGUGCAGGAAAAGGGGGGAUGGUGCUGAAGGAGUCUUAAACGUGGUAGCUCUGUGCUAGAGAGUGGUAACCUGAUGGCUCCCGGAGGAGGUGGUAUUAAUCCUUAGCAUCAGGGCAAAUCUUGAGACUCUGUCCUCUCUUUAUGGCCAACUGGAGGGUAUGAAGGACUCUUUCCCUAGGGUACAUAGCUCACAGGAUAGAUGUGUGUUUUAUAGUAUUAAGCCACAAAGUAAUUAAUAAACAUAGCCACAAUGUGCUGCAAAUAGAAGGCAAAAGAGCCAAAGGAGGAGAGACUACAGACACGGCACUGUCCGUUCUUACGCAGCCGGUGCUGGCAUGCACCUCUGUGAACAAAGAGCAUGUGUUCCAGUGACAUGCUUCUUUGUCAGGGGCUUCACUGCCAGAGGCAUAAAUAACACAGGCAGAGCAGGGUGUGUCUCAUUGCCCUGCCAACAUCUUCUACGGGACUGUCAGUCUACAGGCCUGAAGGGGCUGUUGUCACAGCGCCUGGGUUUUGAAUAUUGCUGCUCUUAACAUCAUUCUCUGCAUCUGUGUGUGAGAAAGAUGUAGAAUAUUCAAUUAUAUCUAAUCUGCAAGUAUUAUCAUGUCCAUGGAUUUAUGGAUUUCAACAAGGGCUGAAAGGGAAUAAGGAAAUGUAAAAACAGUUUGUUAGACCAAACUAAGAAUGAACUUCUUUUUACUUCCAUUGAUGUUAACGUUUGACCAGUAAGUAAUAAAAAUAUCAAAUAAUGCCAGGUUUUGGCACCCCUUGAGCCUUAAAACUGCCUGUUAAUCAGAAUGGCUAUGUAUUCCAAAAAGCUCUAAAAUGUCUGAGCGGAACACUCCGAGCCAGUUUGUAACUCCUUGGACCUGUGCCCCACCCCGCUGCCUCAGCAACAGCAUGUUACUUGUCAUGUCAUCAUAUGACUUGAGCCUUCCCCACAAACUUUGUGGCUGUGGACAGACUUUAAUAAAUCUGAAGAUGAGAGGAAACAGCCCUACUAGGUCAUUGAUUUAACUAGCUCUGAAACCAGCUUAACAGAAUGGGCACAUUUUAGUAACGACAGUAUAUGAAGCUGAUAUAUAAUAUAGAGUGAGGAAAUGAUUACUCUUUAAAUACUUCCAUUCUUCCCGUCCUCUUCUACACGCAUGUGCAUACACUGGUAAGAACAUAUCUCUUCCCCAGCCCGGAGUUUCCACAACUUAGUGUGUGUACCUCUAUUAUUGCAGUUCGGCAACAAAUGGUAGUUAUUGAAGGAUCUAACUUCUCAAUUAGAACUCAGAGAAGUAUUUCUGGAUGAUAGGAAUGGAGAGGAGGACCUGGGGUCCAUCUUUAGAACAUAGCAGAUGCUUUGCAAAUGUAUGUUAUGUUGAAAAUAGUGUCACAUGUACUAAAAAAUACCAUCUAGGCAGCUGAGAUUAUUGAGACAAGGGGAGAGGGAGAGGCAAAUAGGUGAAAAUGGGUUAAGGGAGGAGAUCCUGUUAGUCUCCACAUGGUAAAAACAGAGGAGGGGAAUGUGUCAGGUGUACAGGAAGCUCUAGGCCCAGUAACGGGCCCCUGCCCAGGUUCCUUUCUGCUUUCUGAACCAGCUGGAGGUGCUAUGCCUUCCUGGUGCAGCAGGGAAGAGCUAUGACUACCAAGAGUCAGGUCUAAUAUUUAUUAAGCACCAUCCUUAUGCCAAGUGCUAUGCAUGGGACUUUUGUGUACACUGCUUCUCAGUUAAUCCUAGCAACAGCUCCCCGGGCAGGACGAUAAUCCACCUUUUUUUAGUAUUUAGGAAACAGACUCAGCAAAGCCAAGUAGGUUUGCUGAAAUUCAUAUAACUACUAAGAAGCUAGAUUUCUCUUGUCAUUAAGGGCUCACUGUAAUUCAUUCUCAUUACUUUGAUCGACUAGUCCUCACAACUGCUUCUGAAAAAAAAAACAUUUUUUUCCUGUUUUAAAAAGGUUUACUUGCUCAUUGUGCAGAAAAAAUUUAAAAAUAGAAAAUAAAUUUAAAAGUUCCUGCCAUUGAGAUAUA
rnacentral:lncRNA from 1 species